UGGGGAAUUUUGGACAAUGGCGAAAGCCUGAUCCAGCAAUGCCGCGUGUGUGAAGAAGGCCUUCGGGUUGUAAAGCACUUUUGUCCGGAAAGAAAUCCUUGGCUCUAAUACAGUCGGGGGAUACGGUACCGGAAGAAUAAGCACCGGCUAACUACGUGCCAGCAGCCGCGGUAAUACGUAGGGUGCAAGCGUUAAUCGGAAUUACUGGGCGUAAAGCGUGCGCAGGCGGUUUGCUAAGACCGAUGUGAAAAUCCCCGGGCUAACCUGGGGAACUCAUUGGUGACUGGCAGGCUAGAGUAUGGCANAGGGGGGUAGAAUUCCACGUGUAGCAGUGAAAUGCGUAGAGAUGUGGAGGAAUACAUGGCGAAGGCAGCCCCCUGGGGCCAAAUACUGGCGCUCAUGCACGAAAGCGUGGGGAGCAAAACAGGAUUAG
rnacentral:rRNA from 1 species